GGACCCGUAGCCUAGCCUGGAUAGGGCACCGGCCUUCUAAGCCGGGGGUCGUGGGUUCAAAUCCCACCGGGUCCG
rnacentral:tRNA from 1 species